rnacentral:rRNA from 1 species
UAACGCGUGGGUAACCUGCCUCACACUGGGGGAUAACAGUUAGAAAUAGCUGCUAAUACCGCAUAAGCGCACGGUUCCGCAUGGAACAGUGUGAAAAACUCCGGUGGUGUGAGAUGGACCCGCGUCUGAUUAGCCAGUUGGCGGGGUAACGGCCCACCAAAGCGACGAUCAGUAGCCGGCCUGAGAGGGUGAACGGCCACAUUGGGACUGAGACACGGCCCAAACUCCUACGGGAGGCAGCAGUGGGGAAUAUUGCACAAUGGGGGAAACCCUGAUGCAGCGACGCCGCGUGAGUGAAGAAGUAUUUCGGUAUGUAAAGCUCUAUCAGCAGGGAAGAAAGUGACGGUACCUGAAUAAGAAGCCCCGGCUAACUACGUGCCAGCAGCCGCGGUAAUGCGUAGGGGGCAAGCGUUAUCCGGAUUUACUGGGUGUAAAGGGAGCGUAGACGGCAAGGCAAGUCUGAAGUGAAAGCCCGGUGCUUAACGCCGGGACUGCUUUGGAAACUGUUUAGCUGGAGUGCCGGAGAGGUAAGCGGAAUUCCUAGUGUAGCGGUGAAAUGCGUAGAUAUUAGGAAGAACACCAGUGGCGAAGGCGGCUUACUGGACGGUAACUGACGUUGAGGCUCGAAAGCGUGGGGAGCAAACAGGAUUAGAUACCCUGGUAGUCCACGCCGUAAACGAUGAUUGCUAGGUGU